rnacentral:rRNA from 1 species
AAUGAACGCUGGCGGCAUGCCUAACACAUGCAAGUCGAACGAAGCCUUCGGGCUUAGUGGCGCACGGGUGCGUAACGCGUGGGAAUCUGCCCUUGGGUUCGGAAUAACUCUCCGAAAGGAGUGCUAAUACCGGAUGAUGUCGAAAGACCAAAGAUUUAUCGCCCAGGGAUGAGCCCGCGUAGGAUUAGCUAGUUGGUGAGGUAAAAGCUCACCAAGGCGACGAUCCUUAGCUGGUCUGAGAGGAUGAUCAGCCACACUGGGACUGAGACACGGCCCAGACUCCUACGGGAGGCAGCAGUGGGGAAUAUUGGACAAUGGGCGAAAGCCUGAUCCAGCAAUGCCGCGUGAGUGAUGAAGGCCUUAGGGUUGUAAAGCUCUUCUACCCGGGACGAUAAUGACAGUACCGGGGGAAUAAGCCCCGGCUAACUCCGUGCCAGCCGCCGCAGUAA